rnacentral:rRNA from 1 species
ACUAACUGGACAGGAGCAGUCUUUGGUACCGGUUUUCGCUAUUUCUACAGGCUGCCUAAUUUCAUGAAGAGUUUUGCUUGCGACAAUAUAUGUUCAUGGUAUAAAAAUUGUGAGAUUGUUAAAAUUAAAAACCAAUGUUUGAGUGCAUUCUUCCCAUGGCAACAUGUUCCACUCUCAGACCAGUUCACAAGUACGGUAUUAGCUUUCUACUCCAUUUGUAACCGGUUCUGGCAACUGAAUUUUGAGACUGGGCCCUCCGGAUUCUCCAGGCAAAGAGAGCAUUACUUUGUUGCCCCCGUGAUAAUGGUAGCUAAAGAUGUUGGCCUGGAGUACUUGUGGAACUACUCUGGAGACUGUGGGACACAGGGGCAGGCAGAAUCAAAGGUAUCCCAGAAUUACAUUCACAUGAUCACUGAGGAGGCUCACAUGGUGUUUUAUCACCCGCAGAUUUGUCGCAGACAUCUGAGUUUACGCUCCUGGGUGACUCUUAACUGGCUAUCUCAUUACUCAGUUUUUUCUACAAUGAUGAUGAUGCCCUUU